GUUGUUUUAGAUUUGGCAUCAUUGGGUGAGAAUAUGGAUUGGAAUAUCUUUGGGGUCCUUUUCUUUUUGGCUUGUUAAUCCCAGCAAGGUCUCCAUUAGCAACAACCUUAACAUCUAAGCUUGAUACUGUUGUCUAUGGCUUGCUCAUUCCCCUGCUGUCUAGUUUCUGUGCCUCCAAAUUUAAUCUAUGGGUAUUAGUAGACCAUUUUGAAGAUGCUCUCAAUUUUCAAAUGGCCUUAAUA
rnacentral:misc_RNA from 1 species